rnacentral:rRNA from 1 species
GACGAACGCUGGCGGCAUGCCUAACACAUGCAAGUCGAACGGAGUUUCUUAAAUGGAUUUCUUCGGAAUGAAGCUUUUGAAACUUAGUGGCGGACGGGUGAGUAACGCGUGGGUAACCUGCCCUUUUGUGGGGAACAACUUCGAGAAAUCGGAGCUAAUACCGCAUAUGCUUACGGAAUCGCAUGAUUCUGUAAGGAAAGAUGGCCUCUGAAUAUGCUAUCGCAAAAGGAUGGACCCGCGUCUGAUUAGCUAGUUGGUGAGGUAACGGCUCACCAAGGCGACGAUCAGUAGCCGGCCUGAGAGGGUGAACGGCCACAUUGGGACUGAGACACGGCCCAAAACUCCUACGGGAGGCAGCAGUGGGGAAUCUUCCGCAAUGGGCGAAAGCCUGACGGAGCAAUGCCGCGUGAGUGAAGAAGGCCUUCGGGUUGUAAAACUCUGUCCUUAUUGUAAGAGAGGUAGCAGUGUG